AGUUCGGAGAGUUUGAUCUUGGCUCAGGACGAACGCUGACGGUGUGCUUUAGACAUGCAAGUCGAACGAGAAAGCCCUUCGGGGUGAGUAAAGUGGCGAACGGGUGAGUAACACGUGGGCAAUCUGCCCCUCGCAGGGGGACAACCGGGGGAAACCCCGGCUAAUACCCCGUACGCUUGUGGAGUCGCAUGACCCCGCAAGGAAAGGUAGCUUCGGCCAUCCGGCGAGGGAUGAGCCCGCGGUACAUUAGCUAGUUGGUAGGGUAACGGCCUACCAAGGCGACGAUGUAUAGCUGGUCUGAGAGGAUGAUCAGCCACACUGGGACUGAGACACGGCCCAGACUCCUACGGGAGGCAGCAGUCGGGAAUCUUGCGCAAUGGGCGAAAG
rnacentral:rRNA from 1 species